CAUUCUUUCUCUGAUAACCGAAACAGAGAGAAGCCUCCUCCCAACCAAGGUUACACCUCUUGGUUUCCUCAUAUGAUAAUGGGCUUUGGUUAGGUAUUCUCUGGAGGAAGAACCACAUAACUCUCUUCACCACCUUACUCCACUUCUUUUUCUCCUAUUUAUACGCCCACCGCUUCUAUUGGGUCUCCCUUUUUCAACGUAAGAAACAGAAGGCAGCAAAGAUAGGGAGAGAGAGAGCAGAACCAAGACGGAAAGAAGGAGAGACAGGACAAGUUCCUCCACUUCUUCUUCUACUUAUAUGAGUGCUUGCUUCAUCUGGGUCAUCACAGACACGCACAAAUAGAAGAAAGAAAAGAAUGAAACGGAGUGAGGGAGAAGGGAGGAGUGACUGAAACUUCAAUUUUGUGUGGCUAAGGAUUUUUAAUUCAAGGAAGAAGCACAAACAGAAUUUUGAACUUCAAAAGAGAUGGAAGAUCCAGACUUGAUCGCCGUCACAGGAGUUAUAUUCAGAGAGGUACCAGAGGAGCACGUGUUGUCGGAACUUGCAGGAGAUGCUCGAAACUAGUCUUGAGCUGAUGGUUGCAAACUUGUGCCUCGACGGUGGAAAGAAUGUACGAUAGAUGGUAUUUGGAAAGCUGUCAGUUAUAUGGAGCAUGCAUUAGGCGGCAAGAAACUGCUUCAUGCGAAGGGGCGAAGCGCUGGUUCCUCAAUCGCUGUUCUCACGCGCGAAGUGCAGCAAGCAAUUACGCGUUGCUUUCAAGGUUGCUUUAGUGAUAUCGUAUUCUUCCUCAAGCUUUGAGUGGCUCUUAGCUGGUCGGGUUGCCGGCCCGCAGACCCCGUUUCGGUGCCAAUACC